AUGAACGCUGGCGGCGUGCCUAAUACCUGCAAGUCGAGCGAACAGACGAGGAGCUUGCUCCUCUGACGUUAGCGGCGGACGGGUGAGUAACACGUGGAUAACCUACCUAUAAGACUGGGGUAACUUCGGGAAACCGGAGCUAAUACCGGAUAAUAUAUUGAACCGCAUGGUUCAAUAGUGAAAGACGGUUUUGCUGUCACUUAUAGAUGGAUCCGCGCCGCAUUAGCUAGUUGGUAAGGUAACGGCUUACCAAGGCAACGAUGCGUAGCCGACCUGAGAGGGUGAUCGGCCACACUGGAACUGAGACACGGUCCAGACUCCUACGGGAGGCAGCAGUAGGGAAUCUUCCGCAAAGGGCGAAAGCCUGACGGAGCAACCCCGCGUGAGUGAUGAAGGUCUUCGGAUCGUAAAACUCUGUUAUUAGGGAAGAACAAAUGUGUAAGUAACUAUGCACGUCUUGACGGUACCUAAUCAGAAAGCCACGGCUAACUACGUG
rnacentral:rRNA from 1 species